AAUCUUUCAAAUGCAACCUUUUAUUCUUCCGCAACUUUACAUACAAUUUCUCUUUCAAUUUGCCCUCUUAAAAAGAAAAAAAAUGCACAAAGGUCAUGAGGAAAACAAAAUACAAGAAAAUACAAACAUGGGCACAUCCCGUAUUUGCGGGCCAAACACAAAAAUUGCUAUAAAGCAGGGUUUCCCAAACUUGGGUCCCCAGCAAUUUUUGGACUACAGUUCCCAUCAUCCUUCCCCACUGGUUCUGCUAGCUAGGGAUGAUGGGAGUUGCAGUCCAAAAACAGCUGGAGACCCAAGUUUGCUUAGGGAAACUUGGCUGGCCCUGGGGCACCCUCUGCUGGCCAAAAGGAGCAUUGUCACAGAAUCUGAACCACCCCCAGUACUGCUUAGUGGCAUUUAUAGAUCACAGAACUCAUGUCUGCACCACCUAGAAUACCCACAGGAUUGUGGCCUCUACCAGCAACGCAGGUAGGAGAACAAAUGAAGGAAGGACAAAAACAAUGGGUGGGGGAAAACCCGGAAAGGACAUAUGGUGGGAUAUUAGCCCCGCUGUGAAGAAGUAAUGUUUCCCACUACUGAACAAUGCCACAGAUGAAAAGCUUUUGCAGGGGCUGGGAAAUUGAACUACUGGCUCAAAAUAAUUACUUUUUUUAAAAAGUCGCUGCCAUUCCCAUGGAAGGGGGUUCCACGUCCCAACCAGGAAUGGAACAGGAGUGUACAGACAACCUCCUUGAACUUAAAGCAAAAGAGAAACCAGAUUUG